GCUAAUCGUUCGCGUACCGUAUCAUGUAGUCGACGAGGAACCGUAGCUUGCUUCUCUGAUGUUCGCGGCGGACGGGUGAGUACACGUGGGUAACCUUCCCCUAAGACUGGGAUAACUUCCGGAAACCGGAGCUAAUACCGGAUUAUAUUUUGAACCGCAUGGUUCGAAAGUGUCAGGCCGCUUUGCUGUCACUUUUUGAUGGAUCCACUCUGCAUUAGGUGGUUGGUAAGGUAACCGCUUACCCAAGCCACCAUUGGUAUGCGACCUUGAAGGGUGAUCGGCCACCCUGGACCUGAUACACACUCCAAACUCCUACAGGAGGGAGCAAUAAGGAAUCUUCCGCAAUGGGCUGAUGCCUGCAUGACCAACGUCUCGUGAGUGAUGAAGGUCUUCAGAUCAUUUAACUCUGUUAUUAAGGAAGAACAUAUGUGUAAGUCACUGUGCGCAUUUUCUCGGGGCAUAAUCACAAAGUCACU
rnacentral:rRNA from 1 species